rnacentral:misc_RNA from 1 species
GAAAUGCGAUAAGUAAUGUGAAUUGCAGAAUUCAGUGAAUCAUCGAAUCUUUGAACGCACAUUGCGCCCGCCAGUAUUCUGGCGGGCAUGCCUGUUCGAGCGUCAUUACAACCCUCAGGCCCCCGGGCCUGGCGUUGGGGAUCGGCGGAAGCCCCCUGCGGGCACAACGCCGUCCCCCAAAUACAGUGGCGGUCCCGCCGCAGCUUCCAUUGCGUAGUAGCUAACACCUCGCAACUGGAGAGCGGCGCGGCCACGCCGUAAAACACCCAACUUCUGAAUGUUGACCUCGAAUCAGGUAGGAAUACCCGCUGAAAUUAAGC